UCCAUUUUCAUACCACCCUGCAAAAAGCGUUGCGGGGGAUAAAAUAUAUCAAAAGAAAAUCAUAGAAGCAUCAUUAUUUACACAGAUGGGUCAAUACCAGAGA